AGAAAUCCAAUGACUUGUCAGCCAGAGUAACGGCUGUUGUCAGGUCUUCAGGGUCUCGAGGUCGGUUUCUUCCUAACGCCGCCAACCCCAAGCUAAGGUCCGCGAGCGUCUCACCUCUGUCCAGGCUGGGCUGCAGUGGCGUGGUCUCGGCUCUCUGCAACCUCUAUCUCCCCAGGCUCAAGCGAUCCUCCGGCCUCAGCCUCCUGAGUAGCUGGGACUGCAGGCGUGCUUCUUCUGACUUCUAAAAGCUAUCUACAUACCUUGACUAGUGGCCCUUUUCCUCCAUAUUCACAGCCAGUCACAGCUGGUUGAGUCCUUCUCCAAAAGAAGCUUGAGCUCCUGAGACAAUUCACCUGCUUCUUAGGGUCAUUUAUUGCAGUUUAUCCCAGUAUUUGACUGGAAAUGGUCCGCAUGCUGGGCCCGCUGGCUCGGGCCUGUAAUCCCAACACUUCGGGAGGCCAAGGUGGGAGGAUCGCUUGAGCCCAGGAGACCAGCCUAGGGAACACAGUGAGACUUCAUCUCUUUUUUUUUUUUUAGAUUAGAAAGGUCGGCCGGGGGCUCACGCCUGUAAUCCCAGCAUUUUGGGAGGCAGACAUGGGCAGAUCACCUGAGGUCAGGAGCAGCCUGGCCAACAUGGUGAAACCCCAUCUCUACUAAAAAUACAAAAAUUAGCUAGGAGUGGUGGCAGACGCCUGUAGUCCCAGCUAGUUGGGAGGCUGAGGCAGGAGAAUCGCUUGAACCUGGGAG
rnacentral:lncRNA from 10 species